rnacentral:rRNA from 1 species
GACAGAGGGUGCAAACGUUGUUCGGAAUUACUGGGCGUAAAGCGAGUGUAGGCGGUCUGAAAAGUCGGGUGUGAAAGCCCUGGGCUCAACCCAGGAAGUGCACUCGAAACUGCUAGGCUAGAGUAUCGGAGAGGUUGGUGGAAUUCUCGGUGUAGAGGUGAAAUUCGUAGAUAUCGAGAGGAACACCGGUGGCGAAGGCGGCCAACUGGACGAAUACUGACGCUGAGACUCGAAAGCGUGGGGAGCAAACAGG